AUCCAGAUCAGGGCAACACUUCAGAGCUCCUGGACGGUCGGAGGUUCAACUUGGUGGCGUCGGAUGGACCGCAACACGAUCACGCCCCAGAGGUUUUCUGUUGGAUUUAGGUCAGGGCAGACAGUAGUGGAGGUCAAGAAGUGCACAAGAGACUCACCCCAAAGUGCGAUUCGAAGGCGGUGCCUGUGUUAUAACGGAGGUGGGCGAUGGCAUUGUGGGUUGAAGGGCGUCAAAGCCCAAGUGCAACGGAAGGGAACCCGGACGCACAAUGCUUGUGUCUUACCUUCACCUUGUCCGAGGGCUCCGUUCGGAUCUCUGGUGUUGGAGAGAUGGAGUCUGGACUGUCUGGUGGCGAGGAGUCAACCUCAACUGGUGUCUCCUCCUUCACCUUUACAUCCAAUGGCGUCUGUAGGCUCAUGUCCAAUGCCACUGAAGAGGGAGCAGGUGUCUGAGAAGGCAGAGAAGGAUAGAAACAUUGUGAAUACCGCUCGUUGCAUGAGCCAACCCACCACUGUUUGUGAACUGAAUUUUGUCGACCUAAACUGGACAUUUCCAAGACGGUGGCAACCCACAUUCAUUGUGUUUUCAAAGUCAAGUCCACAGCCGAGAUACUCAAAGUACAACGUGGGUAAUUAUGACUCGAUGGAAAAAAAAUACCAAAAAAAAACAACAUUUGAAAUACCGAAACUCCUGUUCCACUUGUGUCAAUCUAAUCUGGAAAUACUACUUUUGGGGGGAAAACAGAGCUCACAUUAAAAAAAAAAAUCCAAGUAUUACUGCCCAAUUGACAGUUAUACUUGGAAUUUUUUCUCAUAUGUUUUCAUACGGCUGUGUGAACAUAUACAAACAUAUGAAACAAUCUCCAUCUUACGGAGUUCUUCGCUCGCUUGUUGUCAUCGUCAUCUUGUUCGAAGGAGUUGGCCAGAUCAUUGAACAAACCGACUUCCUCACAGUUCUUUAGGAAGCGAGUGGGAGUGGGCGUCUGAUCUGGAACAAAAAUGACAAAUAUCCAAAGCGCCACUGAGCGGCUUUUUAUUCAUUUGUAUAAAGUACUCGAAAAAGUGGCCGUCCCCCCAAAACAAACAACGCUAUUUGGACCCCUUUCCCCUGGAUGGAAGGUAUGCACGGAAGCUUGUGCCCCCACCAUCACCCCCUCCUUCUCGGCCAUGGACUGAUAAGCCAGGACUGUCUUCAUGAGCAGACCUUGACGAAGCAGCUGUGGCCUGUUCACACAUACACAACCAGACAAUCACACGCGCAUACACAUCCUUAUCAUCACCGUCUUCAUCGUUCCUAUUCUUUUCCCCCACGACGUGGAAUGAUCUGCAGAGCGCUCGGUGGACCGUGCAGCUGGUCGGACGGGCCCCCCUUCCCAUUCAUCCGCCCCCUCAUAACAUGUAAUGUCUUGUGAAUUGUUGUAACUGUCAUAUGCUUAUUUAUGUGCUCGGGCAGGGGUGGGCAAAUUUUUUGGCUCGGGGACCGCAUUGACUUUUAGAAUUUGAUAGAAGGGCCAGGUCAGCACGAGCUAUGGUACAUUAAAAAAAAAAAUGCAUUUGUUGACAGUCCGUAGCAAACAUCAACAGAACAAAAGCAUGAAAGUACUGUAUUAAUAUACUUCUUUUAAAUGACCAAAGUGUUGUUGAUGACCUAUUUUAGCCUGUGCAAUGCUGCAGAUGGGUUGUGAUCAGACCAGUAGAAGUAGAGUGAUACAGAGGUACUAGGUGGUCGAAAACAUUCCUCCCCCCCCCCCCCCGCGCCCCCCCGCGUUCUGCAACUUCAAGUCAAUGCGCCACCUGGCGGUGAAAUACCUGUCAUUACGAGUACAAUUGAAAUGAAUGCAAUCAUUCACAUCGAACCUUAAUUGUGGACCAACCUUCAGCGGGCCGGAUUAAAAACACCAACGGGCCGGAUUCGGCCCGCGGGCCGUAGUUUUUCCACCUCUGUGCUAGGGUCUUUUUUUUAUCUUGGACUUAAAUUAUCCUCAGAAGAGGAUAGUUCGAGCGUGUUUUUUCCCCCUCUCCCUACCCAGUGGUUUCCUUUCUGAACUCUGCCUGUAAAUUUCCCCAUCGCAGGACAAAUAAAGGAUAUCUUAAUCUUAAUGGAAUAUGCCGAUGAAUCGCAUAAUUGGGAAAAGGGCUGCACAAUA